rnacentral:rRNA from 1 species
GAUGAACGCUGGCGGCGUGCCUAAUACAUGCAAGUCGAGCGAAGCGGGGACGGGUGAGUAACACGUGGAUAACCUCCUAUAAGACUGGGAUAACUUCGGGAAACCGGAGCUAAACCGGAUACUUAGAGAUGGAUCCGCGCUGCAUUAGCUAGUUGGUAAGGUAACGGCUGACCAAGGCACCGAUGCAUGGCCGACCUGCUAGGGUGAUCUGCCACCCUGCACCUGAGACCCGGUCCAGACUCCUACGGGAGGCAGCAGUAGGGAAUCUUCCGCAAUGGGCGAAAGCCUGUCGGUGCAACGCCGCGUGAGUGAUGAAGGUCUUCGGACCGUAAAACUCUGUUAUUAGGGAAGCGGUACCUAAUCAGAAAGCCACGGCUAACUACGUGCCAGCAGCCGCGGUAAUAC